GAUGAACGCUCGCGGGAGGCCUAACACAUGCAAGCCGAGCGGUAUUGUUUCUUCGGAAAUGAGAGAGCGGCGUACGGGUGCGUAACACGUGUGCAACCUGCCUUUAUCUGGGGGAUAGCCUUUCGAAAGGAAGAUUAAUACUCCAUAAUAUAUUGAACGGCAUCGUUUAAUAUUGAAAGCUCCGGCGGAUAGAGAUGGGCACGCGCAAGACUAGCUAGUUGGUGAGGUAACGGCUCACCAAGGCGAUGAUCUUUAGGGGGCCUGAGAGGGUGAUCCCCCACACUGGUACUGAGACACGGACCAGACUCCUACGGGAGGCAGCAGUGAGGAAUAUUGGUCAAUGGGUGCAAGCCUGAACCAGCCAUCCCGCGUGAAGGACGACUGCCCUAUGGGUUGUAAACUUCUUUUGUAUAGGGAUAAACCUACCCUCGAGAGGGUAGCUGAAGGUACUAUACGAAUAAGCACCGGCUAACUCCGUG
rnacentral:rRNA from 1 species